CAGUCAAAAACAAGAGGGUUGUGAUGAUAAAACGUCAUGUGUCUCCAUAAAUAACGUAAUCAAUUAUAGACAGCAUGCCUUUUUGGAAUUUUGUUUCCAUUUACAGUGUAUUUUGUUUUGUGACAAAUCAACAAUGAGUUCAGAAUCUGGUAAAACAUCAGCACUAUCAUCACCAUCAUCACCAUCGAGAGUGAUAUCUCUGUCUAGUGGGAAAUUGGCGGAAAUCAUCCCUGUGGUUGUCAAUGAUGAUUGUGGCCAAGGCGAUCAGCCAUCACCAUCUGCGGAUAAAAAUGUCACAUCACAUAAUACUGGAAACAUGGAUUGGGAUUUCGGUGGUGGCGAACCAUCAGAAAGCAUGGUGGAUGAUUUAACCACCGAUCAAAGUACUAAAACCAAUGACGAUGUUGGUUACGCAACCUGCACAGACCCAGCUUAUGCAACGGUUACGAGUGUUGGCUCGUACAUUAGCAGAGAAUCAUCGACAGACGUCCUUUUACCAAAUCUACCUGGCGGGAUCAUCGAGUUCAUACAAGAGGGUGCUGAACGAAAUCAGACAGAUGGAUACCGGUAUUAUGUUAUAAUACCAAAGGACACACCUGUCGAUGACAUUGCCAAUUACAUGGCUUAUGGCUGGAAGCGGAGGACACCAAAAAUAGUGUUGUCUGUAAUUUCCAGUGUUAAAUACUUCAAACAGUGGGAAGAUGAGAAACACAUUGAAGAUUUCCAGGCAGGAAUUAUUAAGGCUGCUAACCUCACAGAGAUGUGGAUAGUGACAAAUGGCUUUGACAGCGGGGUUGCUAAAUACAUUGGGGACGCAGCAUGUGACGAAAUGGCUCGCCGCAAGAGUCAGGAAGAGGAAUCUCUAGAAGUGAAGAAUAUCCAAGUCUUGGAGAAAGUGCCAAAACUGACAAUCUUAGGAGUUGUAGCUUUUGAUAGCAUAUCAUAUUCAGACCAUUUGGAUGGACAACAUGUUCAGCCCAAACAAAUAGAGAACAGAGGGCAUAAACCACGAUCAUCGAAAUUUGACUUGAAUCCUUUUCAUACACACUUCAUGAUGGUUAAAGACAUAAAUUCACAGGAGCUGAAUGCAUUCCGGUACAGUCUAGAGGUGCGCUUUCUUCAGCCAGUUGGUCGUGCUCGCAGAUACAGGAGAAUGCCGUCAAGUCACACAACACUGCCUGGAACUAACAGUGAUCUUGAUCUGAACAUGGGAGAAUCUCAAAAUAACCCCAACACCAACACCCCGGUGAUUUCCCUGCUGGUUCAGGGAGGACCGCCAGAAAUUGACCAGGUGCUGUGGUUACUCAAGAAGAAGAUUCCAGUUAUUGUCAUGAAAGGGUUUGGUCUGGCAGCCGAUCUUAUUGCAUUUGCUUAUGAGGAAACACGUGAGAGUUAUAUCAAAUCUGAACUGAUGAAAAGAGUAAAAGACACAUUCCCUAAAGAAUUCAAGAAGGAUGACCUUGCCGUGAUAGAAUGCAGAGACAAGAUUUUGGAGUGUGCUUUUUAUGCACACCAGGACAGCUUAACAUAUCUAACAAUCUUGGACACAGGGAACCGAGCAUCUGAUCUCACCAACCUCAGCAAAUACAUUCUAAUGGCUUUAUUUAAGUCUCAAACCAGAAAGCUUGGUCACAAGUGGAGAGAUCAAAUUCAGCGUGACCUUCAGCUCACUUUAGACUGGAAUCGAUGUGACCUUGCCAAAUCAGAGAUCUAUCAAAAAUACAGCUUGACAAGGAUACGGGUAGAAAAUCAUAUAUUUCAUCAAGCGUUGCUGCGAGAGGACAGAGAAGAUUUUGUAGAGUUGUUCCUUGAUAAAGGAUUCCAGGUUCACCGAUAUUUGAGUCACAAGAGAUUGCAUAAUCUGUUUGAAAAUGCACGGGACAAAGAAUUCUUCAUUGGUGUUUGUUUGGAAGGGGUACUUGGAAAAGCUGUGAAUCCUCAUAGUCCUCUGAGUCGGAACUUUUGUGAAGAUGAUGGAUGUGAGUUAAAUCGCCUUCUGUCUCGAUGCACCAAAUUACAGAAACUCAUAAACCCUUACGAGUUGUCGAUGAAUUCGCUGGGCACCUACAUCACAAACAAAGCUGUUGCUGAACGGAGGGCAACAACCACCCUAGUGCUCUGGGCAGCUCUCACUAACAGGCCCAUCCUAGCCAAGGUAUUUUGGAAGAAAACUGAUGACCCUAUUGCUGUGGCAUUAAUAGUCAGCAUGCUUCUCCAUAGAUUGGCCUCGCAGUGGUGCAAAGAUGUUGACAUGAAGAGAAGGGUCAAAGCCACAGCAGUGGAGUUUGGUAAAAUGGCAGUUAGUAUGUUAGACCUGUGCUACCAGGAUUCCAGUAUCCAGGCAUUCCAUGCUCUUAACAAGAAGCUUCAGGACUUCAACAACAGAACUGUGGUUGAGAUUGCCAAGAUGGGGAACAACAAGUUUUUCAUAGCACACCCAUGCUGUCAAAAGUGGCUGGCUCAGAGGUGGUUGGGAUGUCUUCAGAUUCGAGAGCUAGACUGGGGAGGGCACAUCAAACUACCGGACUGGCUCAAGGUGUACUUGAGUGCUUUCCUUAUUUUCCCCAUGUUUGUAUGGAUUGCAUUUGUACCAAUGGAAAACGUGAAACAAAAGUUUGAAAAAGAGGAUGAUGAAGAAGAGGAGGAGGUUGAAGAGACAAACAUGCUGCUGCGGCCGCUGUCGAUACAGGAGAAACAAGGAAAGAAACGGUAUAGCAUGAAAGUGAAGUUCAAAAACCUGAUUGAUAGAGGGGAAGUAACUCUGAAGCUGCCAGUUUACAAGCAGAUAUACUACUUAUGGAGUGCCCCAAUAACCAAGUUUUGGGUGAAUCAGCUGUUCUACGUGUUCUUCCUGAUACUGUUCAGUCUGGCCGUGCUGUGGCCGUCGUGUGGGGAUCUUCAUCUGAACCUGUCCGUCUUUGUGUGGACCUUCAUCAUCUGGAUAGAACUCGCACGACGGACGUGGGUCAAAAAAUGGAAACAUCCUGAAGUUCCCAUAUUCUGGACAUCAAUUGAGGUGAUACUAAUCCUGUGUUUUCUGCUCCUGUACCUCGUGUUUCGAAUUAUACCGCACUUCGUGGAGUACGUCGACUACAUGACCACUAAAUUCGUCAUGAGCAUCGGUCUUCUCUUCUUCUACUACCGCACCAUGGCCGUUUUCUUACCCAUCAGUCCAACACUCGGACCCAUGCUCAUUCGAAUCACAAAAAUGGUUCGUAAAGAUUUUUCCACAUGGAUGCGAAUGUUCGUCAUCGUGAUGGUGUCUGGAGGGAUAACAAUCCAUGCUGUCUUGUAUCCAAGCUACCCGUUAAAUGUGGAUGGUGUCAAGAAAGCACUGGCCAGAGCAUUUUUUGCCAUGUUCCUCACCAAGAUAGAUGAUUUAGAUGGGGAUGAUACCUGCUCUUACCUGUAUGAAAAUACAACUAUAGGAUCAUGCCACCCUGAGCAAAGUGUUUCUUACCGAUACGGCAACACCAUGUCCACUUGUCCAUAUGGGAGUUUCGGUGGUUACUUCAUUGUGAUCCAGUACCUGUUGAUUACCAAGCUGGUUCUUAUCACACUGCUUUAUGCCAUGUUCAGUGUGACUAAUGCUAGGAUAUCUGACCAUGCUCUGGAGUACUGGAAAUACCAGCGCUAUGGUCUGAUUGUGGAUUUUGAGGAGAGACUGCGACUCCCGCCCCCACUCACUAUAAUCAGCUACAUAUGUAUGCUGCUGAAGUUCAUCUGGACUAAGGUCAUCAGGCCAUGCUGGACUCGGUGCAGACAGUGCUGCAGAUGUUUCACCAGUCAAGACUCUGUGGAUGCAUCGAGGCAUAUCAAUAUUUUCAAAAGCUGCAGGACGAUGGACUAUAACUACUGGAAGAACUGUGUAAAGGUUUACAUCAAUAAAGAGAAACAGGACCAGCUGAAGGAAACCGAAGACCAGAGGCAGAGUGAAACUCUCUGUGUCCUGGUGGAUGACAUGCAGUCACAGAAGGAAACCAAUCGUCGCCUGAAUGACCGGCUGGGACAGAUAGAGAAAAGUUUGACAUCUUGUCGUUUGUUGCUGGAGGAGAUGAAACACAUGAUGGAAGCAAAAGAUAUGGGGACAAAAGGCUUGAUUCCUCCAAAGAAACUGAUUCAUAUAUCUUCCAGGCAAUCUCCGUACCCUGGCACCAGGAUUCAGCGCUUUCCCAUCUUUGACAAAUAUGUACCAUGGGAGGUUACAUAUGAUACAUACGAUCCUGCCUGGUAUACUCGACCUGUUGAAGAGUUCCCACCAGAGAUCAUCGGAUAUGUUGAUAUAGACAUUAUGCAAUUACGGCAGCAAGAAGAAGAAAGGAAAAAGCUGGGCGCUGAUGAACUUGAAGAUCUGCCUCCGUUGCCAGUGUUUGAACCCAUGUGGAACUCUGUGUUUUCUUCCUACAUCAAGGACACUGAUGUGCAGAUAGAGGUUGAUCGGACCUCAUGGAUAACGUUUGACAACCAGCCACUCCGUUACCGGCUUGAUAAGUCAGGGUUACCACAAAAUCCGUUUGGUCGUACAGGGUUGAGAGGCCGUGGUAAACUGUGGAGAUGGGGUCCCAACCACCACAUGGCUGUCAUCAUCUCUCGCUGGAAACGCAAGUACUCGGCUCUCGGAAAACCUCUUGAUCACAUUAUUGUUGAUGGGAAGAAAGUCCUUGAAUUUAUGGUCGUUCAGAGACAGGAUACGGGAGAUUUUUCAUUACCAGGGGGUAAUGUGUAUGGCGACUGUACAGGAAUAGUAGAUGUUAACUGUAUUGUAAUUGUCUUCAGGGUAAUGUGUAUGACGACUGUACAGGAAUAGUAGAUGUUAACUGUAUUGUAAUUGUUUUCAGGGUAAUGUGUAUGGCGACUGUACAGGAAUAGUAGAUGUUAACUGUAUUGUAAUUGUCUUCAGGGUAAUGUGUAUGGCGACUGUACAGGAAUAGUAGAUGUUAACUGUAUUGUAAUUGUCUUCAGGGUAAUGUGUAUGGCGACUGUACAGGAUACUGUGUUAUACUGAAGAGUUUCAAGAAAGACCUACUCAAAGAAGAAGUCAUAGAACACAGCACCAAAGCAGAUGAACAGGAAAUGAUCACGUUUUUUGGACAUUUUGCCACUGGGCAUU
rnacentral:misc_RNA from 1 species